rnacentral:rRNA from 1 species
AUACGGAGGGUGCAAGCGUUACUCGGAAUCACUGGGCGUAAAGCGCGCGCAGGCGGCUUGAUAAGUUGGAUGUGAAAGCCUACGGCUCAACUGUAGAACUGCAUCCAAAACUGUCAGGCUAGAGUGUGGGAGAGGAAGAUGGAAUUAGUUGUGUAGGGGUAAAAUCCGUAGAGAUAACUAGGAAUACCAAAAGCGAAGGCAAUCUUCUGGAACACUACCGACGCUGAGGCGCGAAGGCGUGGGGAGCAAACAGGAUUAGAAACCCUAGUAGUCC